UACGUAGGGUGCGAGCGUUGUCCGGAAUUAUUGGGCGUAAAGCGCGCGCAGGCGGUCCUUUAAGUCUGAUGUGAAAUCCCGUGGCUUAACCACGGGCGGUCAUUGGAAACUGGGGGACUUGAGUGCAGAAGAGAAGAGCGGAAUUCCACGUGUAGCGGUGAAAUGCGUAGAGAUGUGGAGGAACACUAGUGGCGAAGGCGGCUCUUUGGUCUGUAACUGACGCUGAGGCGCGAAAGCGUGGGGAGCGAACAGG
rnacentral:rRNA from 1 species